rnacentral:lncRNA from 1 species
AGUGCCACACCUGUGAGGGCAACAAUGUUUGGCUCCUUGCCUAAGGCAGAUGCAGAUAUCCUGGGAGCCAGAAAUGUUUGUGACUUCGUUAGUCCAGCCAGCACUAAUGACUAUGAGGUCAUAUACCAAACAGAGAUGUACAGAAAGCUAAAAGAGGGCAUGCUAAGAAAAAGGAUUCAGAAAAUGGUACAGUGAUGCCUUAGAGUCACUACAAGUCAACAGAGUGUGUGAAUUACUCAGACAGGUGCCGUCAUAUAUUUGAUGGAAAUUUCAUGUGAUGCAGAUAACUCAGUAAUGGUGGAAAUGAUGAAAAAACAGUUUGCAAGAAGAUCUUUACUCUGUUUAUAAAAUACCUGAAUACUUUGUUUCAAAAUUGAAGAUU